rnacentral:rRNA from 1 species
GGAAGCCGUGAUGCGGAGUGAAAUAAAGUAGCGAAGUCCGUGAGCCAUGCGUCAAGAAAAGCCGCUAUCGUUCAUACCGUACCCGUACCGUAAACCGACACAGGUGGAUGAGGAGAGAAUCCUAAGGCCGGCGGAAGAAGCAUUGUCAAGGAACUCGGCAAAAUGGCCCCGUAACUUAGGGAUAAGGGGUGCCUGGGAAACCAGGCCGCAGAGAAUAGGCUCAAGCAACUGUUUAGCAAAAACACAGGUCUAUGCGAAACCGAAAGGUGAGGUAUAUGGGCUGACGCCUGCCCGGUGCUGGAAGGUUAAGAGGAGAGGUUAGCGCAAGCGAAGCUUUGAAUUUAAGCCCCAGUAAACGGCGGCCGUAACAAUAACGGUCCUAAGGUAGCGAAAUUCCUUGUCGGGUAAGUUCCGACCCGCACGAAAGGCGUAAUGAUUUGAGCGCUGUCUCGACAAUGCAUCCGGUGAAAUUGAAGUACCAGUGAAGAUGCUGGUUACCUGCGCCAGGACGGAAAGACCCCAUGGAGCUUUACUCCAGUCUGGUACUGGGACUCGGUAUUGCAUGUACAGGAUAGGUGGGAGGCUAGGAGAUGGUAACGCCAGUUGCCAUGGAGCCGCUGUUGGGAUACCACCCUUGCAGUAUUGGGUUUCUAACCAGCCGCCGUGACCCGGCGGUGGGACAAUGCCAGACGGGGAGUUUGACUGGGGCGGUCGCCUCCGAAAGGGUAUCGGAGGCGCCCAAAGGUUCCCUCAGAAUGGACGGAAACCAUUCGAAGAGUGCAAAGGCAGAAGGGAGCUUGACUGCGACACCGACGGGUGGAGCAGGUACGAAAGUAGGGCUUAGUGAUCCGGAGGUAUUAAGUGGGAAUGCCAUCGCUCAACGGAUAAAAGCUACCCUGGGAUAACAGGCUUAUCACUCCCAAGAGUUCACAUCGACGGAGUGGUUUGGCACCUCGAUGUCGGCUCAUCGCAUCCUGGGGCUGUAGUAGGUCCCAAGGGUUGGGCUGUUCGCCCAUUAAAGCGGUACGCGAGCUGGGUUCAGAACGUCGUGAGACAGUUCGGUCCCUAUCCGGCGUGGGCGUAGGAUAUCUGAGAGGAGCUGUCCUUAGUACGAGAGGACCGGGAUGGACGGGCCGCUGGUGCAUCGGUUAGACUGCCAAGUCUACGGCCGAGUAGCCAAGCCCGGAAGGGAUAAACGCUGAAGGCAUCUAAUCGUGAAGCCCCCCUUAAGAUGAGAUAUCCCAUUCGAAAGGAGUAAACCCCCUUGAAGACGACGAGGUAGAUAGGGCAGAGGUGGAAGUGCAGCAAUGCAUGGAGCUGACUGUUACUAAUCGGGUGAGGGCUUGACCG